CUGAGCCUCCAUCGGACCCUUAUAGACAUGUUUUCAUACAGCAGGCAUGCCUGCGAGGGAUUAUUUGACUCGCUUUACAGAUGAAGUUACUGAGGGCCAGAGAAACCCCAAAUCACAUGGCCAAUGAGAAAGAAGAUAUGCUGAGUGUGAAGUGCCUGCUAUCCUGGAGGAAGAUGUUACCUUCAAGGUACUGUGUUAAGCACUUGGGUGUACAAGAUUUGGUGAAAUUCUGAUUUUAGUGAAUUUCUGAAUUUUGCAUUGGCUUAAAAAAGAAGGAGGAGUCUUCGUUGGGGCUCCUUGGGGAUGGCAUGGAGAACUUUCACCAGUCAGCUUCAAGCCUGCAUUUUGGCCUCCUUCCCUCUGGCUGCCUCCCCACCUGGAAGCUGGUUAUAAAUGUAGAAUCUCGGGCCCCACCCCAAAGCUACUGGAUCAGAAUCUACUUUAAAUGCACCCUGAAGUGUGAAAAGCACAAUUCAAACCUAGACCAUGACGGGACCAGAUACUGGAUUCUUCAUAAUUUCAGGAAAACCCUCCCUUUAAACAGGCCCAAGGUGGAAACUCUCAGUACUGAUCUCCAUGCUGCAAU